rnacentral:rRNA from 1 species
ACGUAGGGUGCGAGCGUUAAUCGGAAUUACUGGGCGUAAAGCGUGCGCAGGCGGUUAUGCAAGAGAGAUGUGAAAUCCCCGGGCUCAACCUGGGAACUCCUUUGGUGACUGGAUAACUAGAGUACGGCAGAGGAGGAUGGAACGCCGAGUGUAGCAGUGAAAUGCGUAGAUAUGAGGAGGAACACCGACGGCGAAGGCAACAUUCUGGACUGGAACUGACGCUGAUGCACGAAAGCGUGGGGAGCAAACAG